UUACAAGCAUGAGCCAACGUGCCUGGCCCUGUUGGAAGUAUUUUAAGUUACCCUUUUAAUACCCCAUCUCCUUAUAAAAAGGAACUGGGAUGACUUACACCGUGGCUGUUUAACACAGAGAUGAAUGAAACCAUCAGAACGCGGAGAGGAGGAGGGCGCUGCCUGUGCCUGAACCCUGCCACCACAUGCCUGUGUCACUGAUAGCUCACCCUGGACGGAGUGACCUCUUCGAGUCUCCAUGUCUCACAAGCCGCCACUUGGCUGGAUGUCAGGACUCAGUAAGAUGAGGCCUGUAAAGCACUUGGCACAGUGUCCAGCAUGCAACACCGGCAAAGGAUCCUUACGGUCAAGCUAAUUAACAUAUCCAACACCUCAGAGUUGGUUUUCAUGGUGACAACACUUAAGAUCGGCUCUCUUAGCAAAUUUCAAGAAUACAAUACGGUAUCAUCAGCUGUGGUCAACAUGAUGGACACUACUCCCAGAUCUCCCAACCGAGGGAUGUAUCCUUUGACCAACAUCUCCCCUUUCCCCCAACUCCUCACUGUCUUCAUUCUUACAAGAAUGCACUCAUAUACUAAGCAAUGGAAGACUUUUUUUUCAAAAGAGGCUAAGAAAGAUGUCAGGCUGUCUCUUCAGACUUACCAACUCCUCCUGGAUCUGCUGUGUGCGUCUGCUGAGUUGAGCGUUAUACUGAUGUCUCAAGAAGCGCCUGAAGGAGAAUCAAAUGUGGGCUGCCUUCAGUAUCUCAGAAAGAAUUAAAUAGAAGUUAGAUAACUGCUGACCAGGCUGUCUCCUUUAUGGUUUCAGCAACACGAAUGCAAGUCUGAAAAAGCAAGAGGCCCACCCGCCUGGGAAGAGUGGGGGGCCCUUCUGACACACACCCCAGCUCUGCCUUCUGCCGGAAGGCUUCCAUCUGCUUCCGCUCUUCCUCCAGCCUCUCCAGCUCCCACCGCUGCUUCAACAGAUUCUCCUGCUCCUUCUUUAGUUUGGUCGCCUGUGGUGAUGAUGACAGUAAGCUUGACUGAGAUCUGAGAUCAUGGGAAUCAGAUCUUCCUUCAUUCUCCAUCUCCAUUUUUUGCAGACACUACACAACGGUGGCCACGAUCCCCUCCACCACUCACUUACUCAUCCCAUCCCAUCUGCCAUUUCCUGCAAGGGCCUUUCUGAGCCCUGAACUCUGAACUCCCACAGGAUCCUGUACUGGUCCACUCUUACUGUAACUUAACAACUGUCUUCCAUCUGACAGCCCCCACCAGGAGGUCAGGACUGUGGGCCUUGGUCAGGCUCUAUCUCUAGUUCCCAACCCAGUGCUCAGCACCUAGAAUAAGCAGUAGGCACUAAGAAUGUAGUUGCUGAAUCACGGCCUGGGCAAGGGGAAGUGAGGUCACAGGAGCAUGGGCCUCCUUCUUCUAAAUAGAAAGAUCUAACUCUUUCAAGGAAACUGUGCCAUGUUCUCCAAAAACAGCCACUGGACCAAAAACCCUCAGUUAUGCCUCGAGACCCGAAACCUGCUCCCCACGGAGAGCUGGGUGCUAGACCACCCGAUUAAAUCGUGUCUACUCAGUGCACUGGAAAAUCCAUAUUCUAAGAAGGUUCUCCAACAGCAGGCCACUAACCACCUCUAAAAGAACAGCUACUGGCUCCAUGUCGUUAAUGUUCCGGAAUUCAGGCACGCAAACAAGGAGGAUGGGAAAGCACGAGGCAGAAGGGGAUGCAUGUGAGAGGGAGAACCCGGCUGCUGCCGCCCUUUGCAGAAUCUCAGUCCUGCUAUGGCCUCUUCUUAGGGCGGCUUCUCAAGUGCCCAUCUCAUGCUAACGAGCAGCUGUGGAGGAGGUCACGGCCGAGAGGGGCUUGUGCCCACCUCCACCUCCUUCAGCUUCAGCUCCUCCAUCUGCUGCAGCAGUGCCUCGGCCUGGAGCUUGUCCUCCAGCUGCCUCCUCUCCUCUUCAGCUUUCAUCCGUUCUAUCGCCUCCCUUCGGGCCCUUUCGUAUUCAUUUUCAUACCGUUUGUUCUCUUGCUCUGCGGUGGCUUCUUGCUACAAGGGACCAAAUGAACACAGGAGGUCAGUAUCUGUACCGUAAGCCAACAAAAACCCAGCUUCCUGCCGCCGUUCUGCAGGCCACAGGGCCCAGGGAGAUCCUGCCUGAAUCCCCAAUGACAACGCCCUCAAAGGCCAAGUCAGGGAGGGACUCGAUAAUGUUGGGUUUCCUCCCCACUCAACACAACACUUUCUAAAAUGAACCAGGCAGCAAAGCAAUCAGUGCACAGAGGUGUGGAAGCUCAACCCCAAAGGGGCUACGGUAAGCCAGGGCUGCGAGUUUAUGACGCAGAUUUCAUCAAAAGAGAGACAAAAAUGCCCUUAAAGACAUGUUCUAGCUGGACCCUGUGGCCCGCGCCUGUAAUCCCAGCACUUUGGGAGGCCAAGGUGGGAGAAUCGUUUAAGGCCAGGAGGCCAGACCAGCCUGAGCAACAGAGCAAGACCCCAUCUCUACAAAAAUUAAAAAAUUAGCUGGGCGCAGUGGUGCAUACCUAUGGUCCUAGCUACUUGGGAGGCUGAGUUAGGAGGGCUGCUUGAGCCCAGCCGGUUGAGGCUGCAGUGAGCUGUGCGUCGCGCCACUGCAUGCCAGCCUGGGUGACAGAGCAAGACCCUGCCUCCAAAAGAAAAAAAGAAGACGUAUGCUCUAUGUGCCACCUCCCAGCCCUGGUCACCUGGCCUUAUUCUGCCCUGGGAAUUAUCACACAGGAUUCUGGUAUAUGUAAGAGCAAACAUUCAGUUUUCACAUGUGUCAAGUAAACUAAGAAAGAGUAUACUAUACUCCUUAACUGGAGUCACUGAUGCUGAAAACGGUAAGUGAAUGCAAAGACGUGAACAGUCUUGCACAGCAGAAUACAUGGCUAUUCCUAGAGCCACAUACCAUACCUGUUUUUUUUCUUCUUUCUGCAUUUCCCAAGAGUUUACGACAUGCUUCUGGUGAAGGUCCAGCUCCAUCUGAGGAUGGAAGGGGGAUGCUGUGAAUUUCCUCACUGGACAGAUGGGCACUGUGGGGACAGUGUGCUGCUGCCCUCUGUGCCACCUGCUGGAACGUGGCCAUGACUUCCCUUCAUGGGGACUCAGUGGCACAGGCGUCUAGUAGAGAGCGUGGGGUGACUUCAACAUGUACAGUGUGAAUGCAUGUCAAUCAGAAGACCAAAGGACCAGGCACUCCUACACCAAUCUUUUGAGCUGGUACAAAGUAACAGAGACUUCCCUCCCACUAGCCCUAGGGUUGGGCUGGACACUGAAAUGGAAAUACAAUUUCAAAGGCCACCUUGGGUUGGUCUACUGCAUGCCAGGCCCUGGGAGACAGCUGGGUGAGAAGACUCAACCCUGUGCCUGGCUCCCCGAAGUUUCCUCUGCAAAGCAGAUGGAAUACGUACUCCCUGUAUCAAGUGAUGCACCAGUAGGUGCAACAAGUUUAGGAUUGUUAGGAAGAGAUUUGAGCGCAGAGAAUCUCCUGGAUUAGAAAAUGGAUCACAACAUUCAAUCCAAAUCUUUUGUUUGGGAAACUGUUUAUAAAAUUAGCCAGAUAUGGUGGCGGCCACCUGUAGUCUCAGCUACUCGGGAGGCUGAGGUGGGAGGAUCACUUGAGCCCAGGUUUGAGACCAGCCUAAGCAACAUAGGGAGACCCCAACUCUACAAAAAAGUUUUAAAAUAAUCUUUCCCAAUUUACAGCUGUGAACAUAGGCAACUAACUUGAAUGUUCUGAAUAAACUUUUCUGAUUUAA